rnacentral:rRNA from 1 species
GAUGAACGCUGGCGGCGUGCCUAAUACAUGCCAGUCGAGCGAACAGACGAGGAGCUUGCUCCUCUGACGUUAGCGGCGGACGGGUGAGUAACACGUGGAUAACCUACCUAUAAGACUGGGAUAACUUCGGGAAACCGGAGCUAAUACCGGAUAAUAUAUUGAACCGCAUGGUUCAAUAGUGAAAGACGGUUUUGCUGUCACUUAUAGAUGGAUCCGCGCCGCAUUAGCUAGUUGGUAAGGUAACGGCUUACCAAGGCAACGAUGCGUAGCCGACCUGAGAGGGUGAUCGGCCACACUGGAACUGAGACACGGUCCAGACUCCUACGGGAGGCAGCAGUAGGGAAUCUUCCGCAAUGGGCGAAAGCCUGACGGAGCAACGCCGCGUGAGUGAUGAAGGUCUUCGAUCGUAAAACUCUGUUAUUAGGGAAGAACAAAUGUGUAAGUAACUAUGCACGUCUUGACGGUACCUAAUCAGAAAGCCACGGCUAACUACGUG